CCAACAUGGCCGGCCCAUUUGGAGACCUAGAGGCGGUGAUCGCCAGCUGAGGCGGUUACAACCGCCUGACAGCCACGAUCACCACCAUUUUUCUCCCCCACACCAGGGCUAUAAGAACCUAGGGAUUUUUCUCAGAGAUGCUUCAGCCCUCACCCUCUCACUGCCUCUCAUUCCCUUCUCCUUCUGUGCAAAGGAGCUGGACCGGGAGCGACGGAGGAGGAGACAACCCAGCUCGUCACCGCAAUUGAGCCGCCGGAGGAGAUACAGUAUCUCACCGGAAAGGCCUCACAGCCUCGGAGCUAGGUAAGCCCAUAAACUAGUGUAGCUAUGAAAUAACAAAACAGAGGGAAAAUGAAAUAGAACAAAUCGAAGGGUGAAGAAGAGAAGGAAGAAGAUGAGGAGGAGGGAAGGGGGAGAUUCAACCUGCAGCGUUCGGCCCUUGAGCUGGCGUUGACACGAUCGGCCACGACCAUGGAUUAUUUCCCCUACCCUAAUGGGAACGAGGGAGGAGCCGCCGGCUCCAACUGCAAGCUCCGUCGGGCCUCGGUCGGAGCUGCGGUGGGCCGGAGGCCCCUUCCUCUCGAGAGGGUGGUUCCGACCCCCAUUUCCACCAACGAUUAGAGGAGGCCGGCCACCGCAGGCGCGACCACGGGCUCGGCCACGGGCACCGCCGGUCGCGGCCGACCUCUUUCGUGACCACCCUCCUCCCUUCGCAAGAGAAGAAGGAUGAAGAAGAAGGGGGGAUCGGCCGCUACAGGCCGAACAGCGGGUGAUGUUGGCCGGCCGCCGGCACCGCCGACCUCGGACCUGGCUCGCUCCCGAGCGUCCCUCGAGCCUCGUCGCUUCAUGUGAGAAGAGAAGAAGAGGGGGAGGAGAUCGGGACUGGAAGAGGAAAGGAGGAGAGGAAGGUUCGGGAAGGGAGGAGAAGAGAAGAAAAAGAAAGAAAAAGAGAAAGAGAAGAAAAGAAGGAAAAGAAAAGAAGAAAAAUAAAAUAAAAUAAAAUAAAAAAAAAUGUGGUGGGCCGCAAUGGGCCUAAUUCCGGGGUGGGCUUCAAAUAGAUUUGGAUUUAGAAGCCUGAAGCCGGGCUGGGCCCUGGUCCGAGCCCAGUGUUCUUAAAACCAAAACUAACUGGGCCUGAAAAGCUCGAAUUUUAAUAUAGGGACUAUAUUGAAUAUAGUUUGAGGCUAGGUUCUCUUUAAAUUAAUUAGAACUGAUAAGGUAUAAUUAUAAAUUAACCAAUAGUGUUUUUGGGCCUGAAUACAAGUGGGCCCAGUAAUUAAAUCAGGCCAAGGGCCUUAUUCAGAACCCAAUUAAACAUCGAGCCUGAAUGCAAAUGGGCCCAGACCUGAACCAGAGGGCAAUUUAGUCUAAACCAGAAGUGGAAUUGGUUCAGACCUGCAUCAGAAGCUGGAUCAGAUCUGAACCAGAAGCUGGAUCAAAUCUGAACCAGAAGCUAAAUUAGACCAGAACCAGAAAUUGAAUUGGGCCAUGGGCCUGAACUAGAAAUUUAACUAGGCUAUGGGCCCGAAAAUGAAAUUGAGUCCUAUGAAUGGGCUGUAAAUGACUUUAAAAUUAUAAAUAAAUAAAAAUUAAAUGUGCAAGUGACAUGUAAUUUAAUGAUCUUGUUAGGUAUUGAAGAAUUGGCAUUUGGUGAGCAAAUUAAGGUAAGUAACCUGUCUUAAUCUUAUUAUGGAUCAUGUACCACGUUUUAUAAGAUGAAAAAGUAUUAUUAUGCAAUUGGAAUUAUGUAUAAGAAUUGUGGAAAAAGUAGCUGAUAUAAUCUUAUGUUUCAUCAAAUACUUGUGAUUACUCGAUUAUGAAAUUGUAUAUGAUUAUUUAUGUUUUCACAAAAUUAGGAUCAAGCAUGUGUUAGCAAAUGAUUACAAGAUUUUGGAUACAUAGCAUCCAUCAU
rnacentral:lncRNA from 1 species